rnacentral:rRNA from 1 species
AUUGAACGCUGGCGGCAGGCCUAACACAUGCAAGUCGAACGAGUGGCGGACGGGUGAGUAAUGUCUGGGAAACUGCCUGACGGAGGGGGAUAACGACUGGAAACGGUAGCUAAUACCGCAUACCAUCGGAUGUGCCCAGACGGGAUUAGCUAGUAGGUGGGGUAACGGAGCACCUAGGCGUAGAGCCCUAGCUGGUCUGAGAGGAUGACCAGCCACACUGGACCUGAGACACGGCCCCGACUCCGACGGGAGGCAGCAGUGGGGAAUAUUGGACAAUGGGCGAAAGUCUGAUGGAGCCAUGCCGCGUGUAUGAAGAAGGCCUUCGGGUUGUAAAGUUCUUUCGGCGGGGAGGCGUUACCCGCAGAGGAAGCACCGGCUAACUCCGUGCCAGCAGCCGCGGUAAUUC